rnacentral:tRNA from 1 species
GCCAAGUGGAUCAAGGCAG